ensembl:snoRNA
AUCCUUUUGUGGUUCAUAAGCAUGAUGAUUGGGUUUUCAGGCUAUUGUGUGAGAUGUGCCUCGCUCAAACUAUGAUAUGACGUCUGCACAUUACCCAUCUGAUG